rnacentral:sRNA from 1 species
AUCAGGCGUCGUUCGUCACGGGAAAUUGGUGCUAUGAUCGGCAUUGCUCAGUCCGGUUGGUGAUUUGUUUUGAUUUGGCGAUUGAUCAGAUCGCACAAUCCGGGCUAAGUUCCCUCAAAGUGAUCUACUAUUCCGCGCAGCUAUUUAGUAAUGCGCUACGGGGAUUUAAUAUUGUUAAACCCUGAUAAUCGCUCCGGUUAUUUCCGGGAUAAAUGUACUACC